UCUCUCUCUCUCUCUCAAACAACAACAACAACCUCUUCUACUCCAGGCAAACACCACAGGAAAACUGGCUGCCACCAGCCCGUGUGUCCAAAUGGGGAGUCUAGAGUCCAGAUUUCUAUCCUUGCCCCACUGUAACAAGGGGCCCCAACCCCCAGGUUAAGGAAACCCUAGUGGGGAGCCUACACUUCCACCCAGCCCACACCUGUGCCCUUUUCCCCUCCCCCCGCGUCAAGGGAGGCAGAAGGAGGAAACUUCUAUCCUUCUCUGUCGGCAGCAGAUGGCGCUCGCCUCCUCUCCCCACCCCUCGCACACGGACAGAGGCCGCGUGUGAAGCAGAAAAUUUAAUUAAGAUCCAGAGGCUCAUAACCCAAAAUGGCUGAAAUGAAAGCCACUCAUACCUUGAAUGAGAAAAGAUAACAGAUAGCAGCCCUUCCACAACGCAGAUUUUGGAAGGAUCUGACGAGCACGUUAGAGCAGCUGUUACUACAAUGGCAAUUAUGAACAUGCUUGAAACAAACGAACAAUCUAAAAAUUCUCAGCAAAUAAAUAGGAAGUCCCACCAAAGACAUCGAAGACUUAAAGAAGACCCAAAUAGAAACUUUAAAGCUAAAAUAUUACAGGGUGCCUGGGUGGCUCAGUCAGUUGAGCGUCAGACUUCAGCCCAGGUCAUGCUUUUUUUCUAAAACCUUCGUAAAGUGCACUACAGUGACUAAGCCCUAGCUCUUUCUGGAUAGCAGUGCUCGGGACAGAUAUCCCAAGGCAUCUGAGGACCAGCUGUUACUGGUGUAUUCAUUAGUAUGGAUUGGGUUCUGGGAGUUAAGGGCUGUUUUUUUCCCUCGGGAACCAGCUUGUUCUGUAGAGAAGGAGGAGAUUGGCUACGGUUGGCUGGUGGGAGGUGGCCAAAUCUGGCAGCACCGGAUAUUAUCAAGUGGACUCGCCUUUGGUUCCUCUGCGCGUUCAGUUUGCUCCUGCCUUUGACCUUGCCGAUGUACGCCUGGAGCCCCUGGAGCCCCUGGAGCCCCUGGAGACCCUGGAGCUUGUGCUGGUAUCCUGGGGCUUUGGCCUCCGGGGGCCCUGGGCAUCCUGGAAGGCGAAAGAGACCCCCAGGACCCACAGAUUGCUGUGGUUGAGACUGAUGGAGGCAGGACACCGCCGACAGGCUGUUCCGGAGCUCCCCAUGCAGUUGGCUCAAGCUGUGGGACCUGCAUCGUAGCGUGACUCCUCCCUUCGCCCAAUUCGGCUUUGUCCUUUUCACAGGCGUUGAUCCAAAGGGUGCUCCCUAAUAAACACUGUGAACACUGAA